rnacentral:lncRNA from 1 species
CCUGAGCUAAUUUGUUUGGUACAGAAACUGGUGGCUCAAAUUCCAUACCAUUUGUAAAUAAUGUGUAUGUAAAUAUGUGUGUUUCCCUUUAUGACAACAUUCUCAGUGGCCUCAGGAGGUUUUAAACAUACUGCAAUCACAGGUCUCCCCAUGAGGAACUGGCGGGUCUCAGGACUCCAGCAUGGUCCUGCAGUUUGUGUGGUUAGAUCUUCAGAGAGCAGUUAGAGGCCUUGGCACAGGCUAUUGAAUGUGACGACACCACCUUUUAUCACAUGCACAUUCAGAGAGGAAGUGUUUCGACCUGUGCCCAAAGGUUAAACUCCAGCACUCAGCCAACAUGGAAACAAGGUAUGUGUGUGUCAUCUGUCUAAAAGCUUCAACUACAUGUAGCACAUGGAGGCUACUCCCUACAUGUCCACACUGUUCAUUCUUCACCUGGCCAAAGUGAGUGACAUCACUCAUAUUUGAGUUACAAUCAGUUAGUAUUUUAAGCAUUUGGUUUCUGCUACUUCAUUCAAAAUACAUCAGAAAAACACAGUUGCAUUUCCCGUGGCUCAGAGUAAUGUUCUUUUACCCUGAACACCUCCAAAAUGAUGUUUUAGUGUGUCUGCAUUGGUGUCU